AUUGAACGCUGGCGGCAGGCUUAACACAUGCAAGUCGAGCGAGCGGCGGAAGGGUGAGUAAUGUCUGGGACACUGCCUGAAGGGGGGGGAUAACUUCUGGAAACGGUAGCUAAUACCGCAUACCAUCAGUUGUACCCAGAUGGGAUUAGCUAGUAGGUGGGGUAAUGGCUCACAUAGGCGACGAUCCCUAGCUGGUCUGAGAGGGUGACCGGCCACAUUGGAACGUAGACCCGGUCACGACUCCUACGGGAGGCAGCAGUGGGGAAUAUUGCACAAUGGGCGAAAGCCUGAUGCAGACAUGCCGCGUGUGGAAAGAAGGCCUUCGGGUUGUAAAGUACUUUCAUCGGGGAGGCGUUACCCGCAGAAGAAGCACCGGCUAACUCCGUGCCAGCAGCCGCGGUAAUAC
rnacentral:rRNA from 1 species